rnacentral:rRNA from 1 species
CAUGCAAGUCGAGCGCCCCGCAAGGGGAGCGGCAGACGGGUGAGUAACGCGUGGGAAUCUACCUAGCUCUACGGAAUAACCCAGGGAAACUUGGACUAAUACCGUAUACGUCCUUCGGGAGAAAGAUUUAUCGGAGUUGGAUGAGCCCGCGUUGGAUUAGCUAGUUGGUGGGGUAAUGGCCUACCAAGGCGACGAUCCAUAGCUGGUCUGAGAGGAUGAUCAGCCACACUGGGACUGAGACACGGCCCAGACUCC